UAGAAAUUUGCUCUUUUAGUAUUUGUCCAGUAGGUUUCCUUUAAAAGGAAGCCCCU
ensembl:snRNA U7 U7 small nuclear RNA